AUUGAACGCUGGCGGCAUGCCUUACACAUGCAAGUCGAACGGCAGCACGGGAGCAAUCCUGGUGGCGAGUGGCGAACGGGUGAGUAAUGUAUCGGAACGUGCCCAGUCGUGGGGGAUAACGUAGCGAAAGCUACGCUAAUACCGCAUACGAUCUAUGGAUGAAAGCGGGGGAUCGUAAGACCUCGCGCGAAUGGAGCGGCCGAUAUCAGAUUAGGUAGUUGGUGGGGUAAAGGCUCACCAAGCCGACGAUCUGUAGCUGGUCUGAGAGGAUGAUCAGCCACACUGGGACUGAGACACGGCCCAGACUCCUACGGGAGGCAGCAGUGGGGAAUUUUGGACAAUGGGCGAAAGCCUGAUCCAGCCAUGCCGCGUGCAGGAUGAAGGCCUUCGGGUUGUAAACUGCUUUUGUACGGAACGAAAAGGACUGCCCUAAUACGGUGGUCCCAUGACGGUACCGUAAGAAUAAGCACCGGCUAACUACGUGCCAGCAGCCGCCGUAA
rnacentral:rRNA from 1 species